AACGCUGGCGGCAUGCCUAACACAUGCAAGUCGAACGAAGGCUUCGGCCUUAGUGGCGCACGGGUGCGUAACGCGUGGGAAUCUGCCCUUAGGUUCGGAAUAACAGCUGGAAACGGCUGCUAAUACCGGAUGAUAUCGCGAGAUCAAAGAUUUAUCGCCUGAGGAUGAGCCCGCGUUGGAUUAGGUAGUUGGUGGGGUAAAGGCCUACCAAGCCGACGAUCCAUAGCUGGUCUGAGAGGAUGAUCAGCCACACUGGGACUGAGACACGGCCCAGACUCCUACGGGAGGCAGCAGUGGGGAAUAUUGGACAAUGGGCGAAAGCCUGAUCCAGCAAUGCCGCGUGAGUGAUGAAGGCCCUAGGGUUGUAAAGCUCUUUUACCCGGGAAGAUAAUGACUGUACCGGGAGAAUAAGCCCCGGCUAACUCCGUGCCAGCAGCCGCGGUAAUACGGAGGGGGCUAGCGUUGUUCGGAAUUACUGGGCGUAAAGCGCACGUAGGCGGCUUUGUAAGUCAGAGGUGAAAGCCUGGAGCUCAACUCCAGAACUGCCUUUGAGACUGCAUCGCUUGAAUCCAGGAGAGGUCAGUGGAAUUCCGAGUGUAGAGGUGAAANUCGNNGAUAUUCGGAAGAACACCAGNG
rnacentral:rRNA from 1 species